ACGUACACUCCUGCGGGAGGCAGCAGUGGGGAAUAUUGCACAAUGGGCGCAAGCCUGAUGCAGCGACGCCGCGUGGGGGAUGAAGGCCUUCGGGUUGUAAACUCCUUUCGCUAGGGACGAAGCUUUUUUGUGACGGUACCUAGAUAAGAAGCACCGGCCAACUACGUGCCAGCAGCCGCGGUAAUACGUAGGGUGCGAGCGUUGUCCGGAAUUACUGGGCGUAAAGGGCUCGUAGGUGGUUUGUCGCGUCGUCUGUGAAAUUCUGGGGCUUAACUCCGGGCGUGCAGGCGAUACGGGCAUAACUUGAGUGCGGUAGGGGUAACUGGAAUUCUUGGUGUAGCGGUGAAAGGCGCAGAUAUCAGGAGGAACACCGAUGGCGAAGGCAGGUUACUGGGCAGUUACUGACGCUGAGGAGCGAAAGCAUGGGUAGCGAACAGGAUUAGAAACCCCGGUAGUCC
rnacentral:rRNA from 1 species